ACUGGGUGGCGACCGGCAAACGGGUGCGGAACACGUACGCAACCUUCCUUCAAGCGGGGAAUAGCCCAGAGAAAUUUGGAUUAAUACCCCAUAGGAAUGUAGUCUCGCAUGAGACAGCAUUUAAAGAUUUAUCACUUGAAGAUGGGCGUGCGUCUGAUUAGGUAGUUGGUGAGGUAACGGCUCACCAAGCCGACGAUCAGUAACUGGCGUGAGAGCGCGACCAGUCACACGGGCACUGAGACACGGGCCCGACUCCUACGGGAGGCAGCAGUAAGGAAUAUUGGUCAAUGGACGCAAGUCUGAACCAGCCAUGCCGCGUGGAGGAUGAAUGCCCUCUGGGUUGUAAACUUCUUUUAUCUGGGACGAAACACUUCUUAUCUAAGGAGCUUGACGGUACCAGAUGAAUAAGCACCGGCUAACUCCGUGCCAGCAGCCGCGGUAAUACGGAGGGUGCAAGCGUUAUCCGGAUUCACUGGGUUUAAAGGGUGCGUAGGCGGAUAUGUAAGUCUGUGGUGAAAUCUCUGAGCUUAACUCAGAAACUGCCGUGGAUACUAUAUGUCUUGAAUGUUGUGGAGGUUAGCGGAAUAUGUCAUGUAGCGGUGAAAUGCUUAGAUAUGACAUAGAACACCGAUUGCGAAGGCAGCUGGCUACACAACUAUUGACGCUGAGGCACGAAAGCGUGGGGAUCAAACAGGAUUAGAUACCCUGGUAGUCCACGCCCUAAACGAUGGAUACUCGACAUUUGCGAUAUAUUGUAAGUGUCUG
rnacentral:rRNA from 1 species